UGGAUCUGUGUAAAGUUUCCCUAAAUUUUGGAUGUUGUAAUUCUAAAUUUUUGAAUGUUUUAAUCCUAAAAUUUGAAUGUUGGAGUUUAGGCUUGUAAUAUAAGGUGGAUCUAUGUAAAGCUUCCCAUAUGUUUUUUAUAAGAAUUAAUGUCACACCCCCAAACCAGAACGGCGGAAACGUUCGGGGGCGGAGGACGUCGUAUUCAGUAUCAUAACAGUUCAUAGAGAGGAAAGUACACACCACCAUAUAUAUUAAAGUUUCCAAAAUGUUUACAUAAUCGUAUUCGUUACAUGUUCAAAAGAUAAAUACGUAAACAUCCUUCAAAAGAAGUAAUUAACGUCAGCAUGUUAAUCCCCAAAAGUUAAUUUCCAAAUCUGCUUAGCGGUUCCCUGAGAAUACAAGUUAUUUCAAAGAAAAAGUGUCAACAAUUAAGUUGGUGAGUUCAUGAGUAGUGUUUUGAGAAAAUGUACGCCAUUCGAAAGUUCGUGUAUGUUUUCCAGAAAACGCAAUAUUUCAAAUGUAAAGAGUUAUGAUUCGUUGUGUUUUCCAAGAAAAACUCUUAUUUUCUUAUAAAAGUAUGAAAUGCAUAUGAAUGUUCGUGUUAUAAGUUGUAACUAAUUGUACCGAGAAAAUCCCUUAUUUUCCUAUUAGUUGUUUGGUUUGUAUACAGGAAAAACCCUUAUUUUCCUAACAUAACUGGCAGUCUCUAAGACCGAAAAUCGCAAGCAACCGACGUGCUUGAAAGGUGUGGCAUAGUUUUAUAUAAUAAAGCUAUACGAAGAUCGCACUUGUUAGAUGAAGAAUAGUUUUAAUAGCUACUCGUUCAUAAAAGCAUAAUACCAUAAUAAUUGUAUAUCCGGUGAGUUUUAUAACCAUACUAAACAUAAUAUGCCUGUAGCGACGUUCUUCAGGCGUCGUAGCGUUAUGACAACUGUCACCCCAAAAGACGGACUGUAGCUAACAGUCAGGGCGCGGGAUCAUGACUUCCCGUAUAGAUCUAUACACAUUUGACACGUUCUCCGAACGGGAGACUCUGGUUAUAGACAGGACUUGUAGCGUUACCUUUUAUCAAAAAGGCAGUGUUUGAAGAUGUACACGUCUCAUGGAUUCUCAACUAAGUCUGUAUUAAAGUAGUAGUUUUGUAUGCAAAGUUUAUCCUUUUUCACAAUGUUUGACAAAGCAUAAAUCAUAAGUUCUUUGAAUGUAUAAAACGGUUUAGCAACGAAGAAUACUUUGGAAUUUCUAAAUACUUUGUAUAAAUCUAGUGCAUGCGAAGUAUGACAAGAGUUUUCACAUAGUAGUAAUAAAUCACAAGUGAUUCAUUUGAUAAAAACGAGUAAAGUUAAAUUUUUGAUGUAGAAGACAAGUUUGUAAACAAAACAUAUAUAUGUAUAUGGUUAUAUAUAUGUAUAAGUUUUAAAGGAUGAUUUGGCAUGUUUCGUAAUUGUUGUUCAUAUUCUUACGUUUUUAUUAGAAACUUUGCAUGAAAUAAUCCUUAAGUUUGAUACUAAAGACCUUUUUGUACUUAUCACUUUUGUAAAAAUGGUAAUUAAACAUAUUUAAAUGAUUGUGUUUUAACUUCCUUAAUGUAUAAACAUUACUCAAAAAUGUUAGAAGGUGUUAAUAAAUCUAUAAACCACUUUUGACAGUUUUACCCUUUACUGUCCCUGUUUUUAGAAAACUCAUAGAAAAAUCAUCGUAAGUCAAAAACUGAAUCCGUCACCUCUGAGAGUUUAUAAAAUAAGUCUACUUUGCUCCUAAUUUUUAUUAUGAUUUUUAGUGGUCUCAAACUAGUGUGAAAAUGAACAUCUUCACAGACUGGUCCGAAAUCACUUCUGAAAUGACAGGCAGUUUUAUAAAAAUCGCCAUAAAUUGUAGAAAAAUCGUAUGAACGCGUGCGAGUAGUCAUUAGAAAGGUAUAAACUUGAACUAUUUGCAUAUUGUACAGUUUUGAAAGAUAUUAAGUUUAAGAUGGUCAAAACAGUCCGUGAACAGGACUCAACUUUUCUGUAGAAAGCUGUCAUUUAAAUUUGAGUUAUGUUUAGUGUUCUAACUUGUAUUCCCCCCCUUAAAACUUGAAUAAAACAUGAAAAUGUAGGGGUAUGAACUCACCUUAUGUGAAUACUUGAAGAAUGGAAAGUUGAAGAUGAACUUUUGGUUGUUGGUUUGAUGCUCCAAAACAGCCACUCUUUUGGCUAUGUUGCUGUCACGAAAAUUUCACAGCAAAAGUGCAAGAAAAAGGGUAGUUUACUC
rnacentral:lncRNA from 1 species